rnacentral:rRNA from 1 species
AACGAACGCUGGCGGCAGGCUUAACACACGCAAGUCGAACGCAUCGCAAGAUGAGUGGCAGACGGGUGAGUAACGCGUGGGAAUCUAACUAGUUCUACGGAACAACAGUUGGAAACGACUGCUAAUACCGUAUACGCACUACGGGGGAAAGAUUUAUCGGAAUUAGAUGAGCCCGCGUAAGAUUAGCUAGUUGGUGGGGUAAUGGCCUACCAAGGCGACGAUCUUUAGCUGGUCUGAGAGGAUGAUCAGCCACACUGGGACUGAGACACGGCCCAGACUCCUACGGGAGGCAGCAGUGGGGAAUAUUGGACAAUGGGCGCAAGCCUGAUCCAGCCAUGCCGCGUGAGUGAUGAAGGCCUUAGGGUUGUAAAGCUCUUUCACCGAUGAAGAUAAUGACGGUAGUCGGAGAAGAAGCCCCGGCUAACUUCGCGCCAGCCGCCGCGGUAA